UGCCAGGUGAGUCAGUGCAUUGGUCAAGGUC
rnacentral:piRNA from 1 species